AACGAACGCUGGCGGCAUGCCUAACACAUGCAAGUCGAACGAGACCUUCGGGUCUAGUGGCGCACGGGUGCGUACCGCGUGGGAACCUGCCCUUAGGUUCGGAAUAACUCCCCGAAAGGGGUGCUAAUACCGGAUAAUGUCUUCGGACCAAAGAUUUAUCGCGUUUGGAUGGGCCCGCGUUGGAUUAGCUAGUUGGUAGGGUAAAAGCCUACCAAGGGGAGGAUGCUUAGCUGGUCUGUGAGGAGGACCAGCCACGCUGGGAAUGCGACACGGCCCAGACUCCUACGGGAGGGAGCAGUGGGGAAUAUUGGACACGGGGCGAAAGCCUGAUAAAGCAAUGCCGCGGGAGUGAUGAAGGCCUUAGGGUUGUAAAGCUCUUUUACCCGGGAUGAUAAUGACAGUACCGGGAGAAUAAGCACCGGCUAACUACGUG
rnacentral:rRNA from 1 species